GCGCGUGGACGGAAGAGCGUGAAAGACCUGUGGCAGCAGCAGCAGCAGCUGGAGAGCGAGGCACUCACGCACUCAUUAAUUCACCCAUUCAUUCAGCCCCGCGGUGCAGUUAAAGGGCGUCGCUGUUCACUUUAAUACCUCCCAGCUCUCAGCGUUUCUUUGUCCCGGCUUUUCUUGCGUGUGUAGUGGGUUGUGUUUUUUUGUCCCUGUGGACUGAACUCAUGUCAGUGCGCAGCUGCUGUUGACGCUCCUACAUCUGCUGCUCGGCUCAGCUCAGCUCGGCUCAGCUCAGCUCGGCGGCCAUAGACGAGGACGACGCUCCUGCGUUUUACUGCGGGUGAAUGAAGUCAGUGCACACGCACACACGGCGGUGAUGAUCAGGUCAGGAAGCUCGAUGGAGAACAAGAAGAACCCGAAAAGGAGAAGAAGGAGAUUGUUGCUGUGUUUCUGAACCUUUGGCUGCUGAUGUACAGAGCUGAUGACAUGUCACCAGUCAGGACACUGGGAGGAGCCACACUGGGAGCCACCAUCAUGACAGGUUAUGUGUACUGGCUGAAUUACCUUUUAUUAACACAAACAAGGAAGUCUCUUUUCACAGACAAGUGAUAUCAGUUCAGGCAAAUCUAGUCUCAGCGUUCCAUCACUUGUGUAACUGAGAUCAGAGAAGCAGAAAAAAGUGAUUCAGAUCUUGAAGCAUUUGGGUUUCAUUUCAUUCUCGUUUGUCUCUGAAGAGAAAAGCAGCGAGGAGAAUCAAUGACGCAAAAGAACAGGCAUCGCCCGCAGGUGUUUGGGAGGACAGUUGGGUUGCGUUCCACUUUUCUGCUGCUUUGUGUUCUGUGUGUUCCUCUCCAGUUACACCGAUGGAAACGCAGUAGAGUGGGACUCACACCGGAGACUGCUGCAUUGUUCACCUGACGGACUCGCACCGAGGACCUCUGCCGCUGCCAACACGGCCUGUGAUGGAAGCACGAUGCCACCACAGCGUUCCGAGAAGAAUAUCCACGUGGAAGUGUUCAGCAGCUGGGAGACGAUUGUGCCGCCUUUGUGUGUCAGUGGAGAAGGAUUUAAAAAAAAAAAAAAAAGAAGAAAAAAAAUCCCCUUUCUAUUCACUGUGAGCACGGUCACGUUGAGCAGGAAGGUUAUUUCAUGUGUUUUCAAAAAUGAUUCACUGCAGUGUUGUUUUCUCCCCCUCCCAGCCCCAAAAUGUGUGUGAAACCAUGAGAGCUUCAUCCACUCCCACUCUCCCUCUCUCUCCCCCCCUCUCCCUACCUCUCUCUCUCACUCUCUCAAAACACUGCAGCCAUCCAACACAUCACACUUGCCUCCUUCUGCUGCUGUGUGCAGUGACCUGCGCUGUUGCCAUGGUUACAAACACAUAAGUCACUACUACCAGGAGUGGUGUUUCAACUGUGGUUAAAGGGAUAGUCCAGUUUUUUUUGUUUUUUAAAGCAUAACUUAACCCCCAAACAACUUUUUUAUAGGUGUAAACCAGUGUAUUUAAGUACCUGGAUGAUGUAAAGUAUUGAAAUUAUACAUGUCACAGACUCCUCCCCCUUUUAUAUAAAAGCUGGAGCUGUUGCUCCCUGCACUGAUCCCCACUCUGACUCACUCAGAUCUCAUCCCAGCUUCUAGGCAUUUUUCAAAAUCAGGCACUGGGCCGGAGUUAGCCUCAGGAGAUGGGGGUUUAGUUAUGGUUAUAUGAGGUAUUACCAGACCCUCUUUCUGAUUGACAGAUUGACAGACCAAAUAGGUUCACCUAAUAAAAAUCUACACCUGCUUUAGUCUGCGAGUAGUGGUUUACAAGCGAACAUCAUUCUUAAGAUUUCAUAGAUCAAAGCAGAUAUAGAUUUUAUUCUGUGGCUAAAAUCUCUUGUCUAUGUUUUCACUGCAAAGUCAGUGUGGACAACACCUUAUAUAACCACAGAAAAACCCUGAACUAUCCCUUUAACUUGUUAAUCAGCCAACAUGUAGAUCAGAACUGCUUUAAUAUUUAAAGUGUGAGAUAAUGUAUUUUCUAUCUAAUUUUACAUGAUUCUAUUUAUUACAAACACCUUUUACUGUCACGUGUGUUUGUGUGUCUGUGUGAGUGUGUGUGUUCUACAUAUAUGUGUGUGUGUGUGUGUGUGUCGUCAUUCCCAUAAAGGUGCAUGUGUUUUGUCUCCCUCACAAAAAUGUAUUUGUGUUGCAUCAGAAGCUGCUUUACAGUGAUUUCCCUCACAGCUUAACAGGGGAAAAAAAUAACCUUUCCAAAUGCCCAAAGUUCAAUGCUUAAGAGCCAGAAAUGGGACAAAAAAAUAUUUACAAAUGAUUAUUAGCAUUUUCUUUACAGCCUCAUUUGAAUAUAAUUACAAGAAUGAUGCUGGGAAUUAAUGGUGUGUACUUUUCUAAACGAUGCCUGCUGGCAUUAAUUAACAGUUUGCAUUGUCAUAUGAUACUUAAGCGAAUGACAUCAAAUGCUAAUAAUUAUUUGCAGAUAGUUUUUUUUUUAUCUUUUUUAACUAUUUUUGUACUAACACGAUCUAAUAUCUAACAGUACUAAUGUCUGCUAACAGUCGGGUGAUUACUAACCUUUACUCUUGAGUGCUGAUGGCUGGUUCUGUCUAUUAACCCACUGACUAACCCUCUGCUUUGUGCUCACACUCCUCUCUCAUCAUCCUGCAAUCCUUCUGCUACAAACAGUGGAUCAAUCAAGAAAGAAAGAAAGAAAGAAAAUUUUAAAAAGUGAGAAUGUCAAGAAGGAUUUCAGGACAUGGGAAGGGAAAUGUUUUUAUUGUUAACUGAAGAGAUGAAAAGAAGCAGAAACAGCUGCUGACGUUAAAGUGGGUUCGACCACAGCACUUAAAGCUGCAGUACGUAACUCGUGGUGGUUUAUGUUAUUAUUAUUAUUUAGACUUUCGUUCUUAUGGAACAUCAUUAGCCCUCAACCCAUUUUAAAGAUCUGACAUUUUUAGGAUUUGGUCGGUGUCAGAUAGAGGCUUCUUAAAACAAGAAGGCUCCUAUUGGACGAUACCAGCUGUCAAUCACCCUGGUGUCCUCUCAUAUGUGCUUUAUUGUCUAAUUUCCUUUAAAUCGGCAUCUAGCAAAACUAGCAAUAGAGACCAUUAACUCCUCAGGAGAAAAUGCUCAGUGACUUAAUAAGUAACUUAAUUAGUUCAAUAACUAAAUCCAGUGGGAAGUAGAUGCUAAUAUUUGCCUUUGACUUCCAUUCAAACUCGCCCUCUAGUGGCUAUUGAGUAUAUUUGUUACUUCUGGGUCGGCCUCCUCUGGCAAACCAGAAGGCUACAGUUUUUUUUUUCUUAUCGGGACAAUGCUGAAAUUGUCAGACCUGACUGAGGGAGUGUUUAUCUAUAUACAACGGCAGAGCAGGGGGGCCGGGCCAAGAGACGUUUUUUAUUUUUAUUUUUAUUUUGGAGGGGUAGACUUUAUUUCUAAAAAUGUUUUGAGGGCGCUUUUUUGUAUUGUCUUUCUUUACUCUCUUUACAGUUUCUGCCUGUCUCAACCGCUUCCCUUGUGUCACCGGGCGACACAAAAGUAACUAAGAUUACUAACAAUUGGUGUGUGAACUCACUUAUUAAUGGUUUGGCUAUUUAAGACAUUUAAUUUACACAGAAUUCAUUAGAAGCGUUACGCACUACAGCUUUAAA